rnacentral:lncRNA from 1 species
UCAUCUCGUGCCAUUCUAAAUAGAAGCACUACUGAUGGCCCAAAACAAGAUGAUUGUGGUGGUUCUCCUCCUUGCCACCUUUCUUGUGGUGGCAAGAUCGUUGUGGGUUCCAGAAGAACCCUCAAAUGCGGAUGACAUAAGAGGUGCUUGCAUCGAGGAGUGCACCAAAGAAAAUAAGGCUCCUGGCGACAAGAAGACAUGCGAAGUGUUGUGCACCAAGCUCACAAAAAAGCCUAGCGAAGAAGGCAAACAUGAUUGAUGAAGUAGCACUCCGAUAAUAUAUACCCUAGUGGAUCAGUGGUCAUCUUUGUAGCCAUGUCUGCCACACGAUGGCCUUGACUAUAUUGUCUUAUUGUUUUGUUUUUGGUUUCCACUAGUAUCCUAAUUCCUUGUUCAUAUAACCUAAUUUCACUCAAAGCAUUUUAUAUGCUUCACUUAAUUAAAUAAAUACAAAGGCAAUGGCAUGUUCUGUUUUGAUCUAAUUGGAAUAUCAUAGGGCAAACCGAUCUAUAAAAAGAAUGGUAAUGAAUCUUAUAUAUAGAUAUGUUCAAUGUGCAAGUAUGAUCAAAUACUGAAAAAGUUGAUACGAAUAAUAGUUGUUGUUGAGCCUCUCACAACAUUUUGAGUAAAUCUCUUGAAAAGCAAAACGUGAACGAUAUGGUAGAACCCCACCAUUAUAUAUCAUGGUGCAUCAAUGGUCUUUAUGUAGCCAUGUCUAUCACAAAAUGGCCUUGAUUAAAUUAUCUUAUUGUUUGUGUUUUGGUUCCACAAGUAUCCUAACUUCUUAUUCAUGUACCCUAAUGUCACUCAAUGCAUUUUCUAUGACUUACUUAACUAAAUAAAUACGAAGGCAAUGGCCUGAUUUUUAUGAUCUAAUUGAAAUAUCGUAGGUUGGUAUACAUCCCAAAAUUUCUAAUUUUAUGUUGCAAAUAUAAAACAAUAAAAAAACAAUUUUAAUCUUUGUAUACAACUUUUCAAGAUUAGAUUAUAGGUGCACAUGUUUAGGUAUAAUAAACUAUUUUUUUGUUUCAAACGAUAAUAACAUGUAAAAACAUGAUAAUAGCAUGAAAACUGCGAAUGAUGCAUUAUGUCCAUCAUAGUAGCCUCUCCGUAGCUCCGUGUUUUUCCAAUGUUAAUGAUCAUCCACACGCUCACUUAUAUGUUGUUGUAAUCCACCUUGAUGAGCAAUGUGAUACUGUCACACUCGGAUUUAAGGACAAAUCCAAAUGCAUCUCAAAUGUGUGCUAGGAUCAAGUAUCAUACAUAUGAUGACUAAUGGUUCAGAAAUCAAUGUCACAUCUUUAUUAUAUAAUAGAAGUUCUAUACAAAAUAACUAUAUAAAUACAUCAUAAGACGACGACGAUCUUCCACAACUAUAGCUGACUAGGAGACGACGACCUAGACCUCUCCGAACUCAUCUUAGCAUCCUUCAUGCUCCUCAUCUUGCGGUAUAUGUUCUUGACCUGGUGUGAUUAUAGCAAGGGUGAGCUCCCAUAUGGUCAUUACACAACAAGUGUGGGGAAAAGUAUAGUGUAAGGCUUACCAAGGAAAAUGGUUAAGGAUGAGCAUUGCUUUUAAUUUUGUUGGUCCAAAUUUUAUUAGCAAUUACUAAGUAUAAGUGAAUACCAACCUAAUUAAAUAAUUGAUCAGAAAUAAAUACCCACAAUGUAUGGCGUUGUAUUUUGAGAAGAUCAUGGAGAUAUGAUUACCUUCUUGCACUACUAGUAUAUCAAAUUGCAGAUGUAUGUAUAUUAUUUUUGUAUCUAGAUCUUUCCAUGUGAAGGGCAAGCCUAGUGCGUUGGUGACAGCUGUCCCACUUAGUCGCCAAGUUGUAACUUAUUGACCAUUUCCUUAUUUAAUAUUAUGGUCUUAGAUUUAUUUGUUCUUAAGUUGUAUUUGUUUCAAGCCUUGAACUAGUCACAUCCAUUGUAACCUCAAGUUUAUAACACCGUUAAUUUACAAGACAUAUGGAUAAUAUUAUGCAAGUUGUUGCUUCUCCAGCAAGUCUGAUGCGUGUGGCUUUGGCAUGUUGCUGAUUUAGUUUCCAUAUUUAGCAAUUUAGGGACUAAAGUGGAAUAAAAUGGACGGACUAAAAAUUAGUCCCUAGAAACCAAACACCCCCUAAGUUAUCUGGUUUAUCAUGAAUGUAGCGCCAAAAACUACUAAACUUCAUUUUUUUUAUCUAAGUGAGGGGCAGCACAUGUCAGCGUCAACCGGUAAUCACUGUCUAUUUCAAGGUGGCUCGAUGGUAGAUCAUCCACCAAUGAAUAAUGUUAGCUAACGACAACACUAGGAGAGUGGAGGUGACCAAUUUUGGGUUGCCCGGUGACUCUGCUAACUCGGGCAGGUACUGACUGGUCUCAUUACUCGCAUGUCUGGACGAUAUCCGAUGACUCUAGCUAAAAAUAUACAAACGUUUGCAUGUCUUCCACACGACACUUAAAUCUCUGGUCUCCCGGCAAAAAUGAAGAUCAAACUAGCAAUUAGAAAUUGUACGUUCACAACAAUUAACAUCACCCGUAGCCCGUGAAGUUCUCUUCUCCCCAUAGUUUAUUUACUUGUCUUCUAUAUAAAGGGCUAUAAAAAGUUGAGCAAAGUCAUCCCGUGCCAUUCUAACUAGAAGCAAUACUGAUGGCCCAAAACAAGAUGAUUGUGAUGGUUCUCCUCCUUUCCACCUUUCUUGUGGUGGCAAGAUCGUUGUGGGUUCCAGAAGAACCCUCAAAUGCGGAUGACAUAAGAGGUGCUUGCAUCGAGGAGUGCACCAAAGAAAAUAAGGCUCCUGGCGACAAGAAGACAUGCGAAGUGUUGUGCACCAAGCUCACAAAAAAGCCUAGCGAAGAAGGCAAACAUGAUUGAUGAAGUAGAACUCCGAUAAUAUAUACACUAGUGGAUCAGUGGUCAUCUUUGUAGCCAUGUCUACCACACGAUGGCCUUGAUUAUAUUGUCUUAUUGUUUUGUUUUUGGUUUCCAAUAGUAUCCUAAUUCCUUGUUCAUGUAACCUAAUGUCACUCAAAGCAUUUUAUAUGCCUCACUUAAUUAAAUAAAUACAAAGGCAAAGGCAUGUUAUGUUUUGAUCUAAUUGGAAUAUCAUAGGUCAAACCGAUCUAUAAAAAGAAUGGCAAAGAAUCUUAUAUAUAGAUAUGUUCAAUGUGCAAAUAUGAUCAAAUACUGAAAAAGUUGAUACCAAUAUUAGUUGUUGUUGAGUUUCUCACAACAUUUUGAGUAAAUCUCUUGAAAAGCAAAACGUGAACGAUAUGGUAGAACCCCACCGUAAUAUAUCGUGGUGUAUCAAUGGUCUUUAUGUAGCCAUGUCUAUCACAAAAUGGCCUUGAUUAAAUUAUCUUAUUGUUUGUGUUUUGGUUCCACAAGUAUCCUAACUUCUUAUUCAUGUACCCUAAUGUCACUCAAUGCAUUUUCUAUGACUUACUUAACUAAAUAAAUACGAAGGCAAUGGCCUAAUUUUUACGAUAUAAUUGAAAUAUCAUAGGUUGGUAUACAUCCCAAAAUUUCUAAUUUUAUGUUGCAAAUAUAAAACAAUAAAAACAAUUUUAAUCUUUUUAUACAACUUUUCAAGAUUAGAUUAUAGGUGCACAUGUUUAGGUAUAAUAAACUAUUUUUUUGUUUCAAACGAUAAUAACAUGUAAAAACGUGAUAAUAGUACGAAAACUGCGAAUGGUGCAUUUUGACCAUCAUAGUAGCCUCUCUGUAGCUCUGUGUUUUUCCAAUGUUAAUGAUCAUGCACACACCCACUUAUAUGUUGGUUGUUAUCCACCUAGAUGAGCAAUGUGAUACUGUCACACUCGGAUUUAAGGACAAAUCCAGAUGCAUCUCAAAUGUGUGCUAGGAUCAAGUACCAUACAUAUGAUGACUCAUGGUACAUAAAUCAAUGUCACAUCUUUAUUAUAUAAUAGAAGUUCUAUACAAAAUAACUAUAUAAAUACAUCAUAAGAUGACUAAGAUCUUCCACAACUAUAGCUGAUUGGGAGACGAUGACCUGGACCCCUCCGAACUCAUCUUAGCAUCUUUCGGGCUCCUCAUCUUGUGGUACCUGUUCUUGACCUGGUGUGAUUAUAGCAAGGGUGAGCUCCAUAUGGUCAUCACAUAGCAAGUGUGGGGAAAAGUAUAGUGUAAGGCUUACCAAAGAAAAUGGUUAAGGAUGAGCAUUGCUUUUAAUUUUGUUGGUCCAAAUUUUAUUAGCAAUUACUAAGUAUAAGUGAAUACCAACCCAAUUAAAUAAUUGAUAAGAAAUAAAUACCCACAAUGCAUGGAGUUGUAUUUUGAGAAAACCAAGGAGAUAUGAUUACCUUCUUGCACUACUAGUAUAUCAAAUUGCAGAUGUAUGUAUAUUAUUUUUGUAUCUAGAUCUUUCCAUGUGAAGGGCAAGCCUAGUGCGUUGGUGACAGCUGUCCCACUUAGUCGCCAAGUUGUAAGUUAUUGACCAUUUCCUUAUUUAAUAUUAUGAUCUUAGAUUUAUUUGUUCUUAAACUGUAUUUGUUUCAAGCCUUGAACUGGUCACAUCCAUUGUAACCUCAAGUUUAUAACACCGUUAAUUUACAAGACAUAUGGAUAAUAUUAUGCAAGUUGUUGCUUCUCCAGCAAGUCUGAUGCGUGUGGCUUUGGCAUGUUGCUGAUUUAGUUUCCAUAUUUAGCAAUUUAGGGACUAAAGUGGAAUAAAAUGGACGGACUAAAAAUUAGUCCCUAGAAACCAAACACCCCCUAAGUUAUCUGGUUUAUCAUGAAUGUAGCGCCAAAAACUACUAAACUUCAUUUUUUAUCUAAGUGAGGGGCAGCACAUGUCAGCGUCAACCGGUAAUCACUGUCUAUUUCAAGGUGGCUCGAUGGUAGAUCAUCCACCAAUGAAUAAUGUUAGCUAGCGACAACACUAGGAGAGUGGAGGUGACCAAUUUUGGGUUGCCCGGUGACUCUGCUAACUCGGGCAGGUACUGACUGGUCUCAUUACUCGCAUGUCUGGACGAUAUCCGAUGACUCUAGCUAAAAAUAUACAAAUGUUUGCAUGUCUGCCACACGACACUUAAAUCUCUGGUCUCCCGGCAAAAAAUGAAGAUCAAACUAGCAAUUAGAAAUUGUACGUUCACAACAAUUAACAUCACCCGUAGCCCGUGAAGUUCUCUUCUCCCCAUAGUUUAUUUACUUGUCUUCUAUAUAAAGGGCUAUAAAAAGUUGAGCAAAGUCAUCCCGUGCCAUUCUAACUAGAAGCAAUACUGAUGGCCCAAAACAAGAUGAUUGUGAUGGUUCUCCUCCUUUCCACCUUUCUUGUGGUGGCAAGAUCGUUGUGGGUUCCAGAAGAACCCUCAAAUGCGGAUGACAUAAGAGGUGCUUGCAUCGAGGAGUGCACCAAAGAAAAUAAGGCUCCUGGCGACAAGAAGACAUGCGAAGUGUUGUGCACCAAGCUCACAAAAAAGCCUAGCGAAGAAGGCAAACAUGAUUGAUGAAGUAGAACUCCGAUAAUAUAUACACUAGUGGAUCAGUGGUCAUCUUUGUAGCCAUGUCUACCACACGAUGGCCUUGAUUAUAUUGUCUUAUUGUUUUGUUUUUGGUUUCCAAUAGUAUCCUAAUUCCUUGUUCAUGUAACCUAAUGUCACUCAAAGCAUUUUAUAUGCCUCACUUAAUUAAAUAAAUACAAAGGCAAAGGCAUGUUCUGUUUUGAUCUAAUUGGAAUAUCAUAGGUCAAACCGAUCUAUAAAAAGAAUGGCAAAGAAUCUUAUAUAUAGAUAUGUUCAAUGUGCAAAUAUGAUCAAAUACUGAAAAAGUUGAUACCAAUAUUAGUUAUUGUUGAGUUUCUCACAACAUUUUGAGUAAAUCUCUUGAAAAGCAAAACGUGAACGAUAUGGUAGAACCCCACCGUUAUAUAUCGUGGUGUAUCAAUGGUCUUUAUGUAGCCAUGUCUAUCACAAAAUGGCCUUGAUUAAAUUAUCUUAUUGUUUUUGUUUUGGUUCCACAAGUAUCCUAACUUCUUAUUCAUGUACCCUAAUGUCACUCAUUGCAUUUUCUAUGACUUACUUAACUAAAUAAAUACGAAGGCAAUGGCCUAAUUUUUACGAUAUAAUUGAAAUAUCAUAGGUUGGUAUACAUCCCAAAAUUUCUAAUUUUGUGUUGCAAAUAUAAAACAAUAAAAACAAUUUUAAUCUUUUUAUACAACUUUUCAAGAUUAGAUUAUAGGUGCACAUGUUUAGGUAUAAUAAACUAUUUUUUUUUGUUUCAAACGAUAAUAACAUGUAAAAACGUGAUAAUAGCACGAAAACUGCGAACAGUGCAUUAUGUCCAUCAUAGUAGCCUCUCUGUAGCUCCGUGUUUUUCCAAUGUUAAUGAUCAUGCACAUGCCCACUUAUAUGUUGGUUGUAAUCCACCUAUAUGAGCAUUGUGAUACUGUCACACUCGGAUUUAAGGACAAAUUCAGAUGCAUCUCAAAUGUGUGCUUGGAUCAAGUAUCAUACAUAUGAUGACUAAUAGUACAGAAAUCAAUGUCACAUCUUUAUUAUAUAAUAGAAGUUCUAUACAAAAUAACUAUAUAAAUACAUCAUAAGACGACUACGAUCUUCCACAACUAUAGUUGACUGGGAGACGAUAACCUAGACCCCUCUGAACUCAUCUUAGCAUCCUUCAUGCUCUUCAGUUUGCGAUACCUGUUCUUGACCUGGUGUGGUUAUAGCAAGGGUGAGCUCCCAUAUGGUCAUCACACAACAAGUGUGGGGAAAAGUAUAAUGUAAGGCUUACCAAGGAAAAUGGUUAAGGAUGAGCAUUGCUUUUAAUUUUGUAGGUCCAAAUUUUAUUAGCAAUUUCAAAUAUAAGUGAAUACCAACCCAAUUAAAUAAUUGAUCAGAAAUAAAUACCCACAAUGCAUGGAGUUGUAUUUUGAGAAAAUCAUGGAGAUAUGAUUACCUUCUUGCACUACUAGUAUAUCAAAUUGCAGAUGUAUGUAUAUUAUUUUUGUAUCGAGAUCUUUCCAUGUGAAGGGCAAGCCUAGUGCGUUGGUGACAGCUGUCCCACUUAGUCGCCAAGUUGUAAUUUAUUGACCAUUUCCAUAUUUAAUAUUAUGGUCUUAGAUUUAUUUGUUCUUAAACUGUAUUUGUUUCAAGCCUUGAACUGGUCACAUCCAUUGUAACCUCAAGUUCAUAACACAAUUAAUUUACAAGACAUAUGGAUAAUAUUAUGCAAGUUGUUGCUUCUCCAUCAAGUCUGAUUCGUGUGGCUUUGGCAUGUUGCUGAUUUAGUUUCCAUAUUUAGCAAUUUAGGGACUAAAGUGGAAUAAAAUGGAGGGACUAAAAAUUAGUCUCUAGGAUCCAAACACCCCAUAAGUUAUCUGGUUUAUCAUGAAUGUAGCGCCAAAAAGUACUAAACUUCAUUUUUAUUUUUAUCUAGGUGAGGGGCAGCGCAUGUCAGCAUCAACAGGUAAUCGCUGUCUAUUUCAAGGUGGUUUGAUGGUAGAUCAUCCACCAAUGAAUAAUGUUAGCUAGCGGCAACUCUAGGAGAACGGAGGUGACCAAUUUUGGGUUGCCCGGUGACUCUGCUACCUCAGGCAGGUACUGACUGGUCUCAUUACUCGCAUGUCUGGACGAUAUCCGAUGACUCUAGCUAAAAAUAUACAAAUGUUUGCAUGUGUGCCACACGACACUCAAAUCUCUGGUCUCCCGGCAAAAACGAAGAUCAAACUAGCAAUUAGAAAUUGUACGUUCACAACAAUUAACAUCACCCGUAGCCCGUGAAGUUCUCUUCUCCCCAUAGUUUAUUUACUUUUCUUCUAUGUAAAGGGCUAAUGAAAAGUUGAGCAAAGUCAUCCCAUGACAUUCUAAAUAGAAGCACUACUGAUGGCCCAAAACAAGAUGAUUGUGGUGGUUCUCCUCCUUGCCACCUUUCUUGUGGUGGCAAGAUCGUUGUGGGUUCCAGAAGAACCCUCAAAUGCGGAUGACAUAAGAGGUGCUUGCAUCGAGGAGUGCACCAAAGAAAAUAAGGCUCCUGGCGACAAGAAGACAUGCGAAGUGUUGUGCACCAAGCUCACAAAAAAGCCUAGCGAAGAAGGCAAACAUGAUUGAUGAAGUAGCACUCCGAUAAUAUAUACCCUAGUGGAUGAGUGGUCAUCUUUGUAGCCAUGUCUGCCACACGAUGGCCUUGAUUAUAUUGUCUUAUUGUUUUGUUUUUGGUUUCCACUAGUAUCCUAAUUCCUUGUUCAUGUAACCUAAUGUCACUCAAAGCAUUUUAUAUGCUUCACUUAAUUAAAUAAAUACAAAGGCAAAGGCAUGUUCUGUUUUGGUC